ACAGAGGUGGCAAGCGUUAUUCGGAUUUAUUGGGCGUAAAGGGCGCGUAGGCGGCCAGGUGCGUCCGGUGUGAAAGCGCUACCGCUCAACGGAGCGACUGCACUGGAUACGGCUUGGCUUGAGUCCGGGAGAGGUGAGUGGAAUUCCUGGUGUAGCGGUGGAAUGCGUAGAUAUCAGGAAGAACACCAGUGGCGAAGGCGGCUCACUGGCCCGGCACUGACGCUGAGGCGCGAAAGCGUGGGGAGCAAACGG
rnacentral:rRNA from 1 species